rnacentral:rRNA from 1 species
CGAACGCUGGCGGCAGGCCUAACACAUGCAAGUCGAACGCAUGCCUUCGGGCAUGAGUGGCGCACGGGUGAGUAACGCGUGGGAACCGACCCUGGGGUUGGGGAUAACCGCUGGAAACGGCGGCUAAUACCCGAUACGCCUUGAGGGGGAAAGAUUUAUCGCCCUGGGACGGGCCCGCGUUGGAUUAGGUAGUUGGUGGGGUAACGGCCUACCAAGCCUACGAUCCAUAGCUGGUUUGAGAGGAUGAUCAGCCACACUGGGACUGAGACACGGCCCAGACUCCUACGGGAGGCAGCAGUGGGGAAUAUUGGACAAUGGGGGCAACCCUGAUCCAGCCAUGCCGCGUGAGUGAAGAAGGCCUUAGGGUUGUAAAGCUCUUUCAGUGGUGAAGAUGAUGACGGUAGCCACAGAAGAAGCCCCGGCUAACUCCGUGCCAGCAGCCGCGGUAAUACGGAGGGGGCAAGCGUUGUUCGGAAUUACUGGGCGUAAAGGGCGCGUAGGCGGAUAUUCAAGUCAGAGGUGAAAGCCCUGGGCUCAACCUGGGGAAUGGCCUUUGAAACUGGAUGUCUGGAGUUCGGGAGAGGU